rnacentral:rRNA from 1 species
UACGAAGGGGGCUAGCGUUGCUCGGAAUCACUGGGCGUAAAGCGCACGUAGGCGGAUAUUUAAGUCGAUUGUGAAAUCCCCGGGCUUAACCUGGGAACUGCAGUCGAUACUGAAUAUCUAGAGUAUGGUAGAGGAAAGUGGAACUCCCGGUGUAGCGGUGAAAUGCGUAGAUAUCGGGAAGAACACCAGUGGCGAAGGCGGCUUUCUGGACCAAUACUGACGCUGAGGUGCGAAAGCGUGGGGAGCAAACAGG